rnacentral:rRNA from 1 species
CUGGCGACAGGCCUAACACAUGCAAGUCGAGCGCACUCUUCGGAGUGAGCGGCGGACGGGUUAGUAACGCGUGGGAACAUACCCUUUUCUACGGAAUAGCCUCGGGAAACUGAGAGUAAUACCGUAUACGCCCUUCGGGGGAAAGAUUUAUCGGAGAAGGAUUGGCCCGCGUUUGAUUAGAUAGUUGGUGGGGUAACGGCCUACCAAGUCUACGAUCAAUAGCUGGUUUGAGAGGAUGAUCAGCAACACUGGGACUGAGACACGGCCCAGACUCCUACGGGAGGCAGCAGUGGGGAAUCUUAGACAAUGGGCGCAAGCCUGAUCUAGCCAUGCCGCGUGAGUGACGAAGGCCUUAGGGUCGUAAAGCUCUUUCGCCAGGGAUGAUAAUGACAGUACCUGGUAAAGAAACCCCGGCUAACUCCGUGCCAGCAGCCGCGGUAAUACGGAGGGGGUUAGCGUUGUUCGGAAUUACUGGGCGUAAAGCGCACGUAGGCGGAUUGGAAAGUAGGGGGUGAAAUCCCGGGGCUCAACCCCGGAACUGCCUCCUAAACUAUCAGUCUAGAGUUCGAGAGAGGUGAGUGGAAUUCCAAGUGUAGAGGUGAAAUUCGUAGAUAUUUGGAGGAACACCAGUGGCGAAGGCGGCUCACUGGCUCGAUACUGACG